rnacentral:lncRNA from 1 species
GAAUGUACAAAUAGUAAAAUCCUAAUAAUUAUCCUAACGAAAGGGAAAGUUGAUGAAAAUUUAUUCAUCAAGUGGUUUACAUUUUGCUGGCUUGUGCACCCAUUGAUCUCAUCCCAUCUCCUAGCCAUACAGCCAUUCAUGGUAAGGCAGAAGAUUUUGUUCAUUAUCUGGAGCAAAAUCAUCAGACAAUUCUUGUUAACUUGAGACUUCAACUCCAGUUGAUUAUUUAAAUUUUUUUAUUUACAUUUUUAAUUAUUACCCAUGGAUUAAUCACAGAAUUUUACCAACGCAAGACAUCCUUUGGUAAUUCAGUUGGUAAUUUAACAUUUAUUUGCUACAAAUUCGAAUAAUUUUUCUUCGCUAAUUUGUUAUUAGUCUGUCAUGCAGGUUCUUGAAUAAAUUGUAUAGCUCUAAGUGAGAUGCAAGGGUGGACGGAGAGAAGCCCUGCCCCAGCCCCUAAGCAAAUUGGUAUGUGAAAAAUGGAAAUUUUAGUCCAAAUUCAUGGUAAAAUUAAAAGGAAUAAAAAUUUAGCUCAGCUCAAAAAUUAUUUUUAACCCAACUAAUUUCAUUUUCAACCUAUUACCAACGUUCAAUUAUUCAAAUUUAGUUUAAGAUUGUACAAUAAUUACAUAUUUAUUUUAUUUACAUUCAUA